rnacentral:miRNA from 1 species
AUGCACAACAAUAUGAGGGUGU